CUCCCCCCGCGCAUGCGCAGAGCGGCGGCGGCGGCUCCGGACGCAGGCACCGGCGUGGGCGUGGCUUAGCGAGGGGCGUGUCCCUGCGGUGGGCGUGGCCUCAGGGAUGAUGCUGUCGGGCGGGCGCCAGGACGGAGCCUUCGAUGGGGACGAGGAGGAGGAGGAGGAAGAGGAAGCACCAGCUCUCCCAGAUGAUGAUUCCUCUGAGGCCACUUCGGUGUCAUCUGAGGACAGUUCCCCCCCCACCCCUCCCCCCUCCAACGGCUG